rnacentral:rRNA from 1 species
CGAACGGGUGAGUAACGCGUGAGGAACCUGCCUCAAAGAGGGGACAACAGUUGGAAACGACUGCUAAUACCGCAUAAGCCCACGGCUCGGCAUCGAGCAGAGGGAAAAGGAGCAAUCCGCUUUGAGAUGGCCUCGCGUCCGAUUAGCUAGUUGGUGAGGUAACGGCCCACCAAGGCGACGAUCGGUAGCCGGACUGGGAGGUUGAACGGCCACAUUGGGACUGAGACACGGCCCAG